GGGGGGACCAUCCUCCAAGCCUAAAUACUCCCUGGUGACCGAUAGAGAACAGUACUGUGAAGGAAAGGUGAAAAGAACCCCGGGAGGGGAGUGAAAAGAACCUGAAACCUUAUGCUUACAAGCACCGAGAGCCCAUCAAAGGGUGAUCGGGUACCUUUUGUAGAAUGGUCCGGCGAGUGAAUGUAACUGGCAAGGUUAAGCACUUCAGGUGUGGAGCCGAAGCGAAAGCAAGUCUUAAUAGGGCGUCAAGUCAGUUGUAUUCGACCCGAAACCGUGUGACCUAGCCAUGAGCAGGCUGAAGUGGAGGUAAAACUCCAUGGAGGGCCGAACCCACUCCCGUUGAAAUGGUAGGGGAUGACUUGUGGCUAGCGGAGAAAUUCCAAUCGAACUCGGAGAUAGCUGGUUCUCUCCGAAAUAGCUUUAGGGCUAGCCUCGAUUUAACAUUACCGGAGGUAAAGCACUGAAUGGGCUAGGGGCCGAGAGGUUACUGAACCCUAUCAAACUAAGAAUGCCGGAUAAUGAUAAUCGGG
rnacentral:rRNA from 1 species